UACGUAGGUGACAAGCGUUGUCCGGAUUUACUGGGCGUAAAGAGCGCGCAGGCGGUCGUUCAAGUCGAGUGUGAAAGCCCCGGCUCAACUGGGGAGGGUCACUCGAUACUGAUCGACUCGAAGGCAGGAGAGGGUAGUGGAAUUCCCGGUGUAGUGGUGAAAUGCGUAGAUAUCGGGAGGAACACCAGUGGCGAAGGCGACUACCUGGCCUGUUCUUGACGCUGAGGCGCGAAAGCGUGGGAGCAAACAGG
rnacentral:rRNA from 1 species